CGCCUGUUAGGCAGUUGUACACGGAGGUAGCGCCCACUUCCCCUAUUUCUCUGCUCUCCUCCUCCUAUUCUCUACUAGACGCGCCAGAUCGAUCGGCGGCGCCCUCCGAUUCACCCCCUGCAAGGUCGAACGGCGCAGCCCUCCUCAUCUGCGGGAUCGAUUGCCGGCCUGCUCCCGCGGUCUUCUCUGCGGCGCCCCAGCGCGCUAGAACGCCGCCGCCCUCCCCACCGGCGGGAUCGAGCGCCAGCCUCGCCCGCGACCUUCUCCGUCCGCACCCACGAGAACGCCUCCGCCUGUACCCGCGAGAACGUCAUCGCCCGCACACGCACGAAACGCCUCCGCCUGCUCCCCCGAGGACGCCGCCACGCGCACCCGCGCCAACGCCACCGCUCUCCUCAAGAUUAUUACAUCAUGAGACUUACAAGAUAUAACAAACACAAAGAUACUGCUAUGGAAAAAAAAAAGGAGUGAAGCACGGCCAGGAGAUGAACACCCGAUAUUUGUUACACAGAUUACGGCUGAAGUUCUAAAGGAGCACAUCACCUCAAGCACGUUCUUUUGUAUCUAGGAUAUUAGCUUAUGCAGGAUGCAUCCUAAAGUUAGAAGAAAAAGUUGAACAACAAAUGAGAGAGGCAAAUGCGAUGUACCAAUAAUAGUUAACCGAGAGAGGGAAAACACAAGAGGUUGCACUUGGAGAGAUGCAAAGAAGCAGCAAGAAGAAUUGAAGACUAUGAUGCGUGAAAGCCAUCAUUAUAUGGUGGUGCUAUUUUAGUAUGAACUUGGAAUGCUGUCUUUAGUUAUGUUAGUUUUAUAUUGCAACUUAUUUUGUGAUGUACAAAGAUAUUUGGUUCUGAGUUACAUAUAUAUUGUGAUUUCGAUGGCAA